rnacentral:rRNA from 1 species
GAUGAACGCUGGCGGCGUGCCUAAUACAUGCAAGUCGAGCGAACAGACGAGGAGCUUGCUCCUCUGACGUUAGCGGCGGACGGGUGAGUAACACGUGGAUAACCUACCUAUAAGACUGGGAUAACUUCGGGAAACCGGAGCUAAUACCGGAUAAUAUAUUGAACCGCAUGGUUCAAUAGUGAAAGACGGUUUUGCUGUCACUUAUAGAUGGAUCCGCGCCGCAUUAGCUAGUUGGUAAGGUAACGGCUUACCAAGGCAACGAUGCGUAGCCGACCUGAGAGGGUGAUCGGCCACACUGGAACUGAGACACGGUCCAGACUCCUACGGGAGGCAGCAGUAGGGAAUCUUCCGCAAUGGGCGAAAGCCUGACGGAGCAACGCCGCGUGAAUGAUGAAGGUCUUCGGAUCGUAAAACUCUGUUAUUAGGGAAGAACAAAUGUGUGAGUAACUAUGCACGUCUUGACGGUACCUAAUCAGAAAGCCACGGCUAACUACGG